GUCUACGGCCAUGCCACUCUGAACAAGCCUGAUGUCUGAUCUCGGAAGCUCAGCAGGGUCGAGCCUGGUUAGUACUUGGAUGGGAGACCACCUAGGAAGACCAGGUGCUGUAGGCA
rnacentral:rRNA from 1 species